rnacentral:misc_RNA from 1 species
AAAAAAGGAAAAGAAAAGCCAGAAUUUCAGUUAGGAAAAAUAAAUAAUUACUAUAAAGUAAAACAUUGGUAGCUACGGAGGGAAAAACUGCAACUAUGGUACUCGCCAUACUUACAAAACAACUGAAGUGCGAUGAAGUAAAGUGGAAGUGUAUCUACUUAAAGUGAAAUCCUAUACAAUCUUCCUAAAAAUGUAAUUGUUAGGGAGGGGAGAAAGGUGUUACCCAGAUAAUUUCAUUCAGGAAAAGGCUUAAGAAGCCCAAAGUUCCCACUGGAGUGAAAUCCAUUUAUUUGAGGAAUAUCACUUAUUUCUCACUCAACUGGGAAAAAGUUACAUUAAGAGAAU